UGUACGCGUAUACCAAAGUUGUUGCAGUUAAAACGCUCGUAGUCGGAAUUUGGCAGUUCCGGAUGUGUGCACGUCGUGUGCGCACUUCGCGGGGAUUGCUUUUGUGGUCUUGCGUAGGAUGAGGCACUUUUAUUAGUGAACGUCCUCACGCAACCACUUUUUACUGUGAGAAAAUCAGAGUGCUCAAAGCAGGCAUUUGCCGUGAAUGUAUUAGCAUGGAAUAAUAGAAUAGGACUUGGUUCUAUUUUGUUGGUUUGUUGGGACUGAGUAAUGAUUAAGAGGGACAGUUGGGGGCAUUUGUAUUUCGGUGCUAGAGGUGAAAUUCUUAGAUUACCGAAAGACAAACUGCUGCGAAAGCGUCUGCCAAGGAUGUUUUCAUUGA
rnacentral:rRNA from 1 species